CUGGAUAUGGAGUGGACCGGCUGGCUCCAUCUGGAAGACUAGUGAUUUUGUUGUUGUCUUACUGUGCUCAACAACAAGUCCCAGUCUGCCGCAUGGUGCGGGCCACUGCA
rnacentral:pre_miRNA from 1 species